UAUCAGGUCCUGGCUAUGGCACAACCAGACAAAAAACAUAAAUCUUCUGUAAUUGAUGAGGAUCUUGCUCAGGAAGGUUCAUCUCCUCGUGAACAUGAUUGUCAGAAAGCAUCAGUUGUGCGUGCGCUGUUCGUAGACAAACUGCCCCCGCAGCCCCCAAAAUGACUUGAGGGCUCCAUAUAAUAUCACCCCACCAAAGCGGUCUUUUGCACCUGGCAUGCCAAGGCGUAUACUCCUGUCCCUGAUCAAGCAAGACUAAUGCUCACAUAUUUUGCCCAAUGUAUUUUGCAGUGGGAAUAUAAAUAGGGGAUGUGUUCUUUUGUGCAAGCCAUUAGACCAAAUGACAUUACUUCUACGUCUUACAGGCUUGCGAGCCCUAGUGGCUAGCAGAACGAUAAAUGAAUUCGUAUAAAUAGUAUGUGGUGUCUGUACGAUAUGCACGUUCUAAUCAAAUAUCGCCAGAACUUAUACUCUUAUAAUUGGUGCUAUAUCUAUUCGCUGCACACUGUUUCCCAAA